rnacentral:lncRNA from 1 species
UUGAUUUGAGAUCCGGGUAUUAUCAAUUGAAGAUUAAAGAAGACGAUGUACCUAAGACGGCUUUCCGAACUCGGUACGGACAUUAUGAAUUUUCGGUUAUGCCGUUUGGGUUGACUAAUGCACCUGCAGCUUUUAUGAGAUUAAUGAAUGAGGUAUUCCAGAAAUAUCUUGAUAAAUUCGUUAUUGUUUUUAUUGACGAUCUUUUGGUAUACUCUAAGUCCCAAGCAGAUCAUAUCCGACACCUUAAUUUGGUGUUAAGGAAAUUAAGGGAGCAUCAGUUGUAUGCCAAGUUCAGUAAAUGUCAGUUUUGGUUGACUGAAGUGGCAUUUUUUGGGGCAUGUUGUAUCAGCUCAAGGUAUUCAAGUUGACUCUCAAAAGAUUGCCAGCAGUGAGAAUUGGAGCAACCUCGAACCGUCACGGAGGUACGAAGCUUUCUUGGCUUAGCAGUUAUUAUCGACGGUUCGUUCAGGAUUUCUCUAUGAUUGCUUACCGUUGACAAAGUUGACCAGGAAGGAUGUUAAUUUGAGUGGAUGAGAAUUGUGAGAGGAGUUUUCAGCAAUUUGAAGUAUUGCCUCACUCAUGCACCGGUGUUGGUACUUCCGACGAUAGCGGUAAUUUUGAGAUUAUAGUGCUUCAUUUAAAUGGUUUGGGAUGUGUUUUGAUGCAGAUAAUAAGGUGAUUGCCUAUGCUUCUAGGCAGUGAAAAAUCAUGAAAGGAAUUAUCCUACUCACGAUCUUGAAUUGGCAGCAUUGUUUUGCUUGAAAAUUUGGAGACAUUAUUUGUAUGGUGAGAAGUGUAAGAUCUUCACUGAUCAUAAGAGUCUUCAGUACUUAUUCACCCAGCAUGAUCUUAAUCUUCGUCAGCGAAGGUGGAUGGAAUUGCUAAGUGAUUAUGAUUGUUCUAUUGAAUACCAUCCAGGUCGUGCUAAUGUAGUAGCGGAUGCACUGAGUAGGAAACCAAGUGACUAAUGCCCUAUAUGCUUGCCGUGUUCCUCUUCUGCUGAAUGAGGCAACGGGAGUAAGGUUGGAGAUUGAAGACCUAGUGGAGCCUUUCUUGCUAGCUUUCAAGUCAGGCAGUUUUGGUGGACCGUAUACUUGCAGCUCAAAUGGUGGAUGAAAAAUUCAGGAGUUGGUUCAGUUAAGAAGUGAAGGGAAAAGAAAGACCUCAGAAUUCGGGAAUCAGAUGGUAUGCUCAUGCAAGAAAACAGAAUGUAUGUUCCGAAUAAUGGGGAAUUGAAGAAGGAAAUUCUGGACGAAGCACAUUGUUCAGCUUAUGCGAUGCAUCCGGAGGAACAAAAUGUAUCAUACCAUCGACCAUUUAUUAUGGCGGGAUGAAGAGAAAUUGCAGAAUAUGUGAGCAGGUGUAUUAUUUGCCAGCAAGUGAAAGCAGAAAGGAAGAAGCCCUUUGGGCGAAUGCAACCACUCCGUCCCCAGUGGAAAUGGGAAAAUAUAACCAUGGAUUUCGUGUAUAAACUUCCUCGUACGCGAAAUGAUUUGAUGGUAUUUGGGUGAUUGUGAUCGACUCACCAAGUUGCGCAUUUCAUUCCAGUGAGGGAGAAAAUACCCUCUGAAUAAAUGGCUAAGUUGUUUAUUUCGAAGAUUGUCAAGUAUCAUGGAGUCCCAGUAAAUAUUAUCUCCGAUCGAGACCCGAGGUACUUCUAAAUUUUGGGUGGCUUUUCAGGAAGCUCUGGGUACUCAAUUACUGUAUAGCACAGCUUAUCAUCCUCAAACUGAUGGGCAUCAGAGAGGACCAUUCAGACGUUGGAAGAUAUGUUGAGAUCUUCGGUAUUACAAUUGGUGAUUCUUGGGCAUGAUCGUCUAGACUAAUGGAGUUUGCUUAUAUAACAGUUUUCAUCGAUUGGUAUGUCCCCAUUCGAGGCACUUUAUGGUAGCGGGCGAACCAGUGUUGGUCGAGGUUGGUGAACGGUAUAGGAAGGCCCUGAGAUCGUGGAUGAGACGACUCAAAAUGUCAGGUAAUUAAGUCAAACUGAAAGCAGCCAGGAUCGACAUAAGAGUUUAGCGGAUCGGCAUACUACUGACGAGUGUAUGGGGUGAUGGGUAUUCUUGAAGGCCCUGGAGAGGUGUGGUGAUUUGGAAAAGAGGAAGCUAAGUCCGAGAUAUAUUGGACUUAUGUAAUCACUGAAAGAUUGGUGAAGUUGCCUACCGGUUNUAUUGUGGAUUUUGAUGUGAUUUUAGGGGCCAAUUGGUUACACCAUAAUCGUGCCCAUAUUGAUUGUUAUGGUAAAUCAGUUACUUUUUAUCGUCCUGGAUUACCCGAGGUUAUUUUUUGUGGGCGAGAGAAGUGGGGUGAGACAUGGAGUUAUUUCUGCCAUAAGGGCGAGGAAAUUAUUAUCGAAGGGUUGUCAGGGAUAUUUGGCACAUGUGGUAUUAAAUGAUGUUGCUCCUACUAGUAUAGAAGAAGUUGGUGUGGGUCAGACAUUAUCCGGAUGUUUUCCCUGAUGAUUUGCCGGGAUUGCCGCCAGACAGAGAGGUGGAAUUCUCUAUUGAUUUGCUUCCAGGUACGGACCCUAUAUCUCUGACUCCUUAUAGAAUGGCUCCUGCUGAGUUAAGGGAAUUAAAAAUCCAGUUGCAAGAAUUACUUGAUAAAGGUUUUAUUCAACCUAGUUCUUCACCUUGGGGUGCCCCAGUAUUAUUUGUGAAGAAGAAGGAUGGAACUCUUCGAUUGUGUAUUGAUUAUAGACAAUUGAACCGGGUAACGAUUAAAAACCGUUAUCCAUUGCCCCGCAUUGAUGAUUUGUUUGAUCAGCUGAAAGGUGCGUGUGUAUUUUCUAAGAUUGAUUUGAGAUCCGGGUAUUAUCAAUUGAAGAUUAAAGAAGACGAUGUACCUAAGACGGCUUUCCGAACUCGGUACGGACAUUAUGAAUUUUCGGUUAUGCCGUUUGGGUUGACUAAUGCACCUGCAGCUUUUAUGAGAUUAAUGAAUGAGGUAUUCCAGAAAUAUCUUGAUAAAUUCGUUAUUGUUUUUAUUGACGAUAUUCUGGUAUACUCUAAGUCCCAAGCAGAUCAUAUCCGACACCUUAAUUUGGUGUUAAGGAAAUUAAG